GUUUAACCUCCAUCUUCCCGGUAUUCCGCGUACAAGAUUCCCGGUUUUGCCGAUAUUCCUGGAGAAUUUAAUGUAACCCUUUUGACUGGUGCACCAAAUCCAAGAGCUGUUUACUCAUCGAAGGCUGUUGGAGAACCACCACUAUUUAUUGGCAGUUCAGCAUUCUUUGCCAUAAAGGAUGCCAUCGGAAACGCCCGUGAAGCAAAUGGCCUUAGCAGAGAUGUUAAACUGGAAUCGCCUGCGACUGCUGCACGCAUUCGAAUGGCUUGUCAGGAUAACCUCACCAAAUUGAUUGAUAUACCUGCUGCCAAUACAUACACUCCCUGGAAUAUUAUGCCAUAAACAUACUUUCAAUUCCAACAAAUAAAGACAGCUUUAUACAAUUUAAACUGGCACAGCCACAAUUUCCAUAUAUAGAACAUUUUGUAAUUUUAGGAACCAAUAAAGAUAUGUAAAUACUAAACAGUUAA